rnacentral:rRNA from 1 species
GCAAGUCGAGCGCGAACGGGGACUUCGGUCUCCGGGAGAGCGGCGAACGGGUGAGUAACACGUGGGUAAUCUGCCUUCGGGUGGGGAAUAACUCAGGGAAACUUGGGCUAAUUCCGCAUAAUGUCCCGCCUCACAAGAGACGGGACCAAAGCUGGGGACCCUUCGGGGCCUGGCGCCUGAAGAGGAGCCUGCGGCCAAUUAGCUUGUUGGUGAGGUAACAGCUCACCAAGGCUACGAUUGGUAGCCGGCCUGAGAGGGCGGACGGCCACACUGGAACUGAGACACGGUCCAGACUCCUACGGGAGGCAGCAGUGAGGAAUUUUCGUCAAUGGGGGAAACCCUGAACGAGCAACGCCGCGUGGAGGACGAAGACCCUCGGGUUGUAAACUCCUGUCGGACGGGACGAAAGUCAUCGAGGCGAAUACCCUCGGUGAUUGACGGUACCGUACGAGGAAGCCCCGGCUAACUUCGUGCCAGCAGCCGCGGUAAUACGGGGGGGGCAAGCGUUGUUCGGAAUUACUGGGCGUAAAGGGCGCGUAGGCGGUUCGACAAGUCCCUUGUGAAAGCCCACGGCUCAACCGUGGAAUUGCGGGGGAAACUGCCGAACUUGAGUCCGGGAGGGGGGAGUGGAAUUCCCAGUGUAGCGGUGAAAUGCGCAGAUAUUGGGAGGAACACCGGAGGCGAAGGCGUCUCCCUGGACCGGUACUGACGCUGAGGCGCGAAAGCCAGGGGAGCGAACGGGAUUAGAUACCCCGGUAGUCCUGGCCGUAAACGAUGAGCACUAGAUGUGGCGGGUAUUG